rnacentral:rRNA from 1 species
UACAGAGGUCCCGAGCGUUUGUUCGGAUUCAUUGGGCGUAAAGGGUGCGUAGGCGGCGGGGCAAGUCUGAUGUGAAAUCCCGGGGCUCAACCCCGGAACUGCAUUGGAUACUGCCUUGCUAGAGUACUGGAGAGGGAACUGGAAUUCCUGGUGUAGCGGUGAAAUGCGCAGAUAUCAGGAGGAACACCGGUGGCGAAGGCGGUUCUCUGGGCAUUACCUGACGCUGAGGAGCGAAAGUGUGGGGAGCGAACAGG